rnacentral:rRNA from 1 species
UACGGAGGAUGCAAGCGUUAUCCGGAAUGAUUGGGCGUAAAGCGUCCGCAGGUGGCAAUGUAAGUCUGCUGUUAAAGAGUCUAGCUCAACUAGAUAAAAGCAGUGGAAACUACAUAGCUAGGGUACGUUCGGGGCAGAGGGAAUUCCUGGUGUAGCGGUGAAAUGCGUAGAGAUCAGGAAGAACACCGGUGGCGAAGGCGCUCUGCUAGGCCGUAACUGACACUGAGGGACGAAAGCUAGGGGAGCGAAUGGG